rnacentral:lncRNA from 1 species
AUGACCGGACACACACAACGCGCGGAGCUUGGCCGUGGCCCUACACCAAACGCGCCUGAAAUUCGUUACCGACAGAAACCCGCGAGGCGCCCUGAGAAACCCCUGCGGCAGAGGCAGGGACCCUCCAGCCGGCCACGGCAGCUGCCGGGGGCUCGGCUCGCCGCGGAGAGGCCUGCGGAGGGGAGGAGGCCAUGUGGCAGGCAGGCAGGCGGCCGCUGGCUGUGGCUGAGGGGGAGGAGGCCCCGGCGUUCAUUCAAACCGCCGAGCAGGCCCCGCAGCGGGGAGGCGGCCCCGCGCCGUGCCCGGCCGCACGUCGGCCUGCGGAGAAGCCGGGCCCGGCCUCGCGGCCCCACCGCCGAGCCCUGCCGCCGACCCCCCCCACACACACACACCGCGGUCCGCCCCCAGCCUCCCCCCGGCGGCCGCUGUCCCCCGAGCCCCCCCCUCACGGGAGGCGCCGGGGCCCCUCACACGCCGACCGCCGCGGCCGCCCCGCGCCCAGCCCCGCACGGUCCCCGCGGUGGGCCGGGGAGGAGCCGAGGUUCCGCUCUCCCCGUGACGAGGCCCCUCGGCGCUGCGACCUCCGUCCCCCGAGCCCCCGCCGCCCGCCAGCCCAGGCCUGGGGCCGCAGCCCUCGCCCCUCGCCCCGGCCACAUGGCGGCCGCGGCGCCCGCACUCACCCCGCUGGCGGCCCGCGUCGCCCCGCGCUGCUCAGCGCCUGGCCGCCAUGUUAGAGCUGGUGCGGCACGGACUGCGUCAGCGCGAGGCAGCGGAGGGGGGGGGGGGAGGGGGGGGGGGGGGGGGGGGGUUNNNNNNNNNNGAGCACGGCUCGGCUCGGGGAGGCGGCGAGGGCCGCUCGCGAGGAGCCGAAGCGGUUGGGGGAAGGGGGGCGCCCGCCCCCUCCAGCUCGUCAGCGCCGCUCCGCCCCGCCGCCCGCUCCCGCCACCCCUGCUGCCCGCCGCCCCCAGCGCGGCCGGGAGGGUGCCCGUGUGGCGGGGGGCCGGGCCUCCCCCUGCGGGCACAGCGGGGCUCGGCCGCCCGAAGCGCCCCGGACUGCUGCUGCUGGGCUUCCCCCCCUCCCCAGCCACGUCUCGGCGUCCGGAGUGA